CCAGAUAUACCAGAGAGAAGCUGGACACAGCUACAGAAGAUCUAGGUCUAGUCCCAGUUUUGUGAAUCUGGGCAAAGCGUGUUAACUCUCUGACGUCCAUUCCCUCGCCUGCAAGAUGGGAUUCGUGUUUUGUGCUUUGAAUCUUUCAAAGGAUUUUGGUAUUGAUCCUAAGAGCACUCCCCAUUGAAGUUCCUGCAUGCAGAUGUCUAUUUCAGAGUCUACUUCUUGGGAAACUCAGUCUGUAACAGCUGCCUUCCUUUAAUUUUCUUGAACGUCUGACCUCAAGUAAUCCACCCUCCUCGGCCUCCCAAAGUACUGGGAUUACAGGCAUGAGCCACCGCACCUGGCCCUUGUAUUUUCUAAUAUGAAUUAUUGAGGUCUAUUCUGAGCUGCUAUAGUAUUUUGUUUGUAUGAGUAGACUAGGAUUCAUCCCAUUAA
rnacentral:lncRNA from 1 species